rnacentral:rRNA from 1 species
AUUGAACGCUGGCGGCAGGCCUAACACAUGCAAGUCGAGCGGAUGAAGGGAGCUUGCUCCUGGAUUCAGCGGCGGACGGGUGAGUAAUGCCUAGGAAUCUGCCUGGUAGUGGGGGAUAACGUCCGGAAACGGGCGCUAAUACCGCAUACGUCCUGAGGGAGAAAGUGGGGGAUCUUCGGACCUCACGCUAUCAGCUGAGCCUAGGUCGGAUUAGCUAGUUGGUGGGGUAAAGGCCUACUAAGGCGACGAUCCGUAACUGGUCUGAGAGGAUGAUCAGGCACACGGGAACUGAGACACGGUCCAGACUCCUACGGGAGGCAGCAGUUGGGAAUAUUGGACAAUGGGCGAAAGCCUGAUCCAGCCAUGCCGCGUGUGUGAAGAAGGUCGUCGGAUUGUAAAGCACUUUAAGUUGGGAGGAAGGGCAGUAAGUUAAUACAUUGCUGUUUUGACGUUACCAACAGAAUAAGCACCGGCUAACUUCGUG